AUGCAAGUCGAACGAACUCUGGUAUUGAUUGGUGCUUGCAUCAUGAUUUACAUUUGAGUGAGUGGCGAACUGGUGAGUAACACGUGGGAAACCUGCCCAGAAGCGGGGGAUAACACCUGGAAACAGAUGCUAAUACCGCAUAACAACUUGGACCGCAUGGUCCGAGUUUGAAAGAUGGCUUCGGCUAUCACUUUUGGAUGGUCCCGCGGCGUAUUAGCUAGAUGGUGAGGUAACGGCUCACCAUGGCAAUGAUACGUAGCCGACCUGAGAGGGUAAUCGGCCACAUUGGGACUGAGACACGGCCCAAACUCCUACGGGAGGCAGCAGUAGGGAAUCUUCCACAAUGGACGAAAGUCUGAUGGAGCAACGCCGCGUGAGUGAAGAAGGGUUUCGGCUCGUAAAACUCUGUUGUUAAAGAAGAACAUAUCUGAGAGUAACUGUUCAGGUAUUGACGGUAUUUAACCAGAAAGCCACGGCUAACUACGUGCCAGCAGCCGCGGUAAUACGUAGGUGGCAAGCGUUGUCCGGAUUUAUUGGGCGUAAAGCGAGCGCAGGCGGUUUUUUAAGUCUGAUGUGAAAGCCUUCGGCUCAACCGAAGAAGUGCAUCGGAAACUGGGAAACUUGAGUGCAGAAGAGGACAGUGGAACUCCAUGUGUAGCGGUGAAAUGCGUAGAUAUAUG
rnacentral:rRNA from 1 species